rnacentral:lncRNA from 1 species
UUCGACGGUGUCGUUGCCAAGAUCCCAUCCCUAAGGCAACAAAAAUAGGCACCUUGGAGGAGCGAAUGGUGAUCACUGAUGGCGAUGUGGUCAGGAACAUGUUGUUGGGGAUCGCAAUGGUUCUGAAAAAAUAGCGGUUCUUGGUCGUUGAGGGAGAGAGAGGAAAAAGAGGAGGAGAUGAGAGACUACCAUAGCCAUGGUGGCAGGCAAGGAUAAAAGUGGGGCCCUAUAAUGAAUUUUUUGCUCUCGGAGCCAAUGUAAUUGGUUCAGAUCAUCAUUCCUAUCGAGUCCGCCC